rnacentral:rRNA from 1 species
AGUUGAAUGAAAUGCGUUAUCAUUUCAUGGCAAACUGCUUAGUAACACAUGAUCAACCUACCCUAUGGAGGGAACUAACCUCGGGAAACUGAGGAUAAUGUCCCAUAGCAGAUUCGGCUUGGAAAAGUGUUUCUGUGAAUGGGGUAUGGAAUUGUCCAUACGUGCCAUAGGAUGGGAUUGUGGUCGAUUAGGUAGUUGGUGAGGUAAUGGCUCACCAAGCCGAUAAUCGAUAGGGGCCGUGAGAGCGGGAGCCUCAAGAUGGGUACUGAGACAGCGACCCAGGCCCUACGGGGCGCAGCAGGCGCGAAACCUCCACAAUGCACGCAAGUGCGAUGGGGCUACCCAAAGUGCUCCAUACGGAGCUGUGGUGGAUGAGUAAUGUUCUCCACUAGAAAGGAGAGGGCAAGGCUGGUGCCAGCCGCCGCGGUAAAACCAGCUCUUCAAGUGGUCGGGAUAAUUAUUGGGCUUAAAGUGUCCGUAGCUGGUAGGGUAAGUUCCUGGUAAAAUUGGGCAGCUUAACUGUCCUUAUGCUAGGAAUACUACUCUACUAGAGGGCGGGAGAAGUCUG